CUACGGGUUGCUGCAGUGGGGAAUAUUGCACAAUGGGCGCAAGCCUGAUGCAGCAACGCCGCGUGAGGGAUGAAGGCCUUCGGGUUGUAAACCUCUUUUAGCAGGGAAGAAGCGAAAGUGACGGUACCUGCAGAAAAAGCACCGGCUAACUACGUGCCAGCAGCCGCGGUAAUACGUAGGGGGCAAGCGUUGUCCGGAAUUAUUGGGCGUAAAGAGCUCGUAGGCGGUUUGUCACGUCUGCUGUGAAAAUCCAAGGCUCAACCUUGGACUUGCAGUGGGUACGGGCAGGCUAGAGUGCGGUAGGGGAGAUGGGAAUUCCUGGUGUAGCGGUGGAAUGCGCAGAUAUCAGGAGGAACACCAAUGGCGAAGGCACAUCUCUGGGCCGUAACUGACGCUGAGGAGCGAAAGCGUGGGGAGCGAACAGGAUUAGAUACCCUUGUAGUC
rnacentral:rRNA from 1 species